AUUGAACGCUGGCGGCAGGCCUAACACAUGCAAGUCGAGCGGAUGAAGGGAGCUUGCUCCUGGAUUCAGCGGCGGACGGGUGAGUAAUGCCUAGGAAUCUGCCUGGUAGUGGGGGAUAACGUCCGGAAACGGGCGCUAAUACAGCAUACGUCCUGAGGGAGAAAGUGGGGGAUCUUCGGACCUCACGCUAUCAGAUGAUCCUAGGUCGGAUUAGCUAGUUGGUGGGGUAAAGGCCUACCAAGGCGACGAUCCGUAACUGGUCUGAGAGGAUGAUCAGUCACACUGGAACUGAGACACGGUCUAGACUCCUACGGGAGGCAGCAGUGGGGAAUAUUGGACAAUGGGCGAAAGCCUGAUCCAGCCAUGCCGCGUGUGUGAAGAAGGUCUUCGGAUUGUAAAGCACGUUAAGUUGGGAGGAAGGGCAGUAAGUUAAUACCUUGCUGUUUUGACGUUACCAACAGAAUAAGCACCGGCUAACUUCGUG
rnacentral:rRNA from 1 species